UGGGUUUCUUUCUUAUACUAGUUUGUCUUGUUUACAAUUAUGUUAAUAUUUUACUAGGGCUUGAAAUUCAACAUGAUUUACAAUGUACAAACUUCAGUCUCGACUGCCCCAAUGGCAUUGCUACAACUUCUGUUACUUCAGUUUGCUUGCACAUUGCCAGGAUCCUGAAGGCAGGUACAAGAAAAAAAAAAAACAUUGAGCUUUGCCUUCUCCUUCUACUUUCGCCGUCCUCUAGUCUGAUGUGGACUGUAACCUGCCACCAGCAAGGCAGCAACUGAAAAACAUCAGGGAACCACAUUACAUUAGAUCCUUCCAGCUGUGAGCGAUUGACAUGAGUGAUUAAUCCAUUGAUACUGAACUAUUUUCUAGAACUGGGAUGAUUUUGAAGAAACCCCAAUGGAAUGUACACACAAAUUCCUGGCAAUCAGUGAAGCAGUAACAGCUCAUGGAGCUGCCCUUUACAAACCUUGAAGUAGCUUUCAUCUUGCUGGCUUUUGUCAUUUUCUCCUUGUUUACCUUGGCUUCUAUCUACAGUGACCCCCAUGACAACAAAGAAGAGGAAAGAUCCACACAAGAAAAAUAUAAGAAAAGAAGCAAAUCCAAGAAAAAAAAGACACGUUCAAGUAUGACUGAAGUGGUUUAGAAUAUUACCCAGGUGCACUGUUGGAAAUACUUUUGAAAAAGGUAGCUCUAGAAGCCGGUCACCCGAAGACAGUGAGAAAAAGGAUGUGAGAAAGGAAAGACGUGAUCAUCAUCAGAUGGAAUCCAGACAUGCCAAUUAGAGUUAAUGAACCACGACCCGUGAAGCUGCUUCAGCACCUUUUUACAACCUCCAUUCAUGGCCUUAAUAAAACUACCAGGGCUUUUUUUACA
rnacentral:lncRNA from 1 species